rnacentral:rRNA from 1 species
AUGGGUUGUGAGAGGAAGCCGCUGGGCAUUGCUCUGGCACUGGCCCUGCUCCUGGGCCUCGCCCACGGCGACGUGGUGCAGUUCAUCUUCGGCGACUCGCUGUCGGACGUGGGCAACAACAACUACCUGACCAAGAGCCUCGCGCGCGCCGCGCUGCCUUGGUACGGCAUCGACUUCGGCAGCGGCAUGCCCAACGGCAGGUUCUGCAACGGCCGCACCGUCGCGGACAUCAUCGGCGACAAGAUGGGCCUCCCGCGGCCGCCGGCCUUCCUGGACCCGUCGGUGGACGAGACCGUCAUCGCCAAGAGCGGCCUCAACUACGCGUCCGGCGGCGGCGGCAUCCUCAACGAGACCUCGUCCCUCUUCAUCCAAAGGUUCUCACUGUACAAGCAGAUCGAGCUGUUUCAGGGGACGCAGGCCUUCAUGCGGGAGAAGAUCGGGCGGGCGGCGGCGGACAAGCUGUUCGGCGAGGCAUACUACGUGGUGGCCAUGGGCGCCAACGACUUCAUCAACAAUUACCUGCUCCCCGUCUACUCCGACUCGUGGACCUACAAUGGCGAGACCUUCGUCAAGUACAUGGUCACCACCCUGGAGGCCCAGCUCCGGCUCCUGCACGGGCUGGGCGCGCGCCGGGUCACCUUCUUCGGGCUAGGGCCCAUGGGCUGCAUCCCGCUGCAGCGGCUCCUGCAGAGGUCCUCCACGGCGUGCCAGGAGUCCACCAACAAGCUCGCCCUCAGCUUCAACAAGCAGGCCGGCGCGGUGAUCAAGCAGCUGGCGGCGUCGCUGCCCAACGCGACGUUCCAGUUCGGGGACGUCUACGACUACUUCCAGGACAUCAUCGACCGGCCCUACGUACACGGCUUCAACAACUCCCACGCGCCCUGCUGCACUCUCGGAAAGGUGCGGCCGACGCUGACGUGCACCCCGCUCUCCACGCUCUGCAAGGACCGCAGCAAGUACGUGUUCUGGGACGAGUACCACCCCACCGACAGGGCCAACGAGCUCAUCGCCCUCGAGACGCUCAAGAGGCUCAACAUCACCGUCGUCGCCAAUACCACCUCCACCUAG